rnacentral:lncRNA from 1 species
GAACCCAUGUCAGCUUAUACAAACCAACAGUUUGUUUACCAAUAUCCACUGGCUUCCUCAGAGAAGGGCCCUGUAGCAUGUGGAGUAAACAUGAAUGUUCAGUGAACAUGACUAUACAAUGUAACUCCUUUACCAACUUAUGGACAGAAAUUAAGUUGUGUGUGAAAGAAGGAAUUAACAGUACAUUAUGAAGAAUAAUA